CUUGAAGGUGAGGAGAGAAGUGCAACCAUGUCACUACUCCAUCAGGCUUGUGAAAAAUGGGGCUUUUUUAUGGUAAUGAAUGAACGCAUGUAUAAUUCUGUUUUUUAAGUAGUACUAAGCACUUUUGAUAAGAUGCUAAUAUUGAUAAGAAACUAAUGCAGAUAGAGAAUCAUGGAAUUGACACUUACUUGAUGGACAAUGUGAAGCAGCUCGUGAAUCAGCACUACGAAGCCAACAUGAAGAAGCGAUUUUAUGAAUCAGAGCUACCUAUGAGUUUAGAGAAGAAAGGAAACAUCAGCAACACAGACUGGGAAAGCACAUUCUUUGUUUGGCAUCGUCCAACUUCCAACAUCUAUGAGAUUCAAGGUCUCUCAAAGGAACUUUGGUAAGUCACCAACACCACAGCAUAAAGCUUCAACAAUUCAAUAAAUAUGCUAGAAUUAAUGAGCACAGACGUACAACUUACCGAUGUCCUGCACUAAGAAUAUUUCAUUAUUAUUGAAUUUCACAUUUGAAGUAUGUUGCGUGCAGCAAAGCAGUAGAUGACUAUAUUGAUCAGCUGAUCGAACUUGCAGAAAAUCUUUCAGAACUAAUGUGUGAGAACCUUGGCCUAGAGAAGAGUUGCAUCAAAGAAGCAUUUUCAGGCAGCAAGGGUCCUUCUGUUGGAACAAAAGUAGCGAUAUAUCCUCAAUGUCCU
rnacentral:lncRNA from 1 species